ACAAGCAUCAAAACCAAGCAACACUAGUUGACAUCAAUCCACAAUGAAGACAUUCCUCGUCUUUUCCCUCCUCGCUCUUGCGGCGGCAAGUGCCGUUGCGCAAAUUUCACAGCAACAACAACAACAACAACCAUUUCCGCAGCAACAACAACCACCAUUUUCGCAGCAACAAGAGCCACCAUAUUCACAGCAAUAGCAACCACCAUUUUCGCAACAACAACAAUCACCAUUUUCGCAGCAACAACAACAACAACCACCAUUUUUGCAGCAACACCAACCACCGUUUUCACAACAGCCACCAAUUUCACAGCAGCAACAACCACCAUUUUCACAGCAACAACAACCACCAUUUUCACAGCAACAACAACCACCAUUUUCGCAGCAGCAACAACAACAACCACCAUUUUCACAACAACAACAACCACCGUUUUCACAACAGCCACCAAUUUCACAGCAACAACAACCACCAUUUUCGCAGCAACAACAACCACCAUUUUCACAGCAACAACAAAUACCAGUUAUUCAUCCAUCUGUUUUGCAGCAACUAAACCCAUGCAAGGUAUUCCUCCAGCAGCAGUGCAUCCCUGUGGCAAUGCAGCGAUGUCUUGCUAGGUCACAAAUGUUGCAGCAGAGGAUUUGCCAUGUGAUGCAGCAACAAUGUUGCCAACAGUUGCGGCAAAUCCCCGGGCAAUCCCGCCAUGAGUCAAUCCGUGCUAUCAUCUACUCUAUCAUCCUGCAGCAACAACAACAACAACAACAACAAGUUCAGAGUAUCAUCCAAGCUCAGCAACAACAACCCCAACAGUUGGGCCAAUGUGUCUCCCAACCCCAACAACAAUCGCAGCAGCAACUCGGGCAACAACCUCAACAACAACAAUUGGCACAGGGUACCUUUUUGCAGCCACACCAGAUAGCUCAAUUUGAGGUGAUGACUUCCAUUGCACUCCGUACCUUGCCAACGAUGUGCAAUGUCAACGUGCCGUUGUACGGAACCACCACUAGUGCGCCAUUCGGCGUUGGCACUGGAGUUGGUGCCUACUGAUAAGAAAAGAUCUCUAUUAAUAUAUAGUUGGAUCACCGUUGUUUAGUCGAUGGAUAUGUCGAUGUAGCGGUGACAAAUAAAGUGUCACACAACACCAUGUGUGACCCGCCCAAACUAGUUGUUUAAAUUCUGAAAUAAAAUACAAAUAAAGUUGUAUCAAGACAAUGUUCAUAUCA